UAAUGUAUUUGCCUCUGCCACCAUCACCAGCAGUGUGAUCCAAGCACCUAAAAUACCGUGUAAUAAAACAACUUCCUCUGACAUUUCUGCUAAACUGUCCUCCAAUCCAAUCUUAAACUGAUGUCUGAUUUUGGUCAUUGCCGCCCUUGGGGAAAAAGAAGGUGCUGAAUGCCCACUCUAUCAAUGCCUUGUAUAACCUUAUACGCCUCUUUCAAGUAGACCCGAAUCCUUCGUAGCUGCACAGGAGAAAGUCCCAGAUUGCUCAAUCUUCCCUCACAAAGCACAGAGAGCGGUUGGAUGGAAACAUUCUUCUCACUUGUCGGGAGAAUUCAUAAAAUGUGAAGCUGGGGCAGAAGGAGUUUCACUGAAAGGAAGUUCGCUGAGACAAUGUUGGAAAUGCUACAAACGGGUUCCAUCCCCGGACAUGGCGGAAAGAGCGACAGGGGAGGGAAAAGGAGACACAUCAGGACAUCGAUAAUUCACUUCAGAAAAGAGUUAAAUAAAUUUUACAUGAAUCCA